rnacentral:lncRNA from 1 species
CCUCUGGCCAAGAUGGCAUUGAUCAUUAUCUUUAGUUCCUUCAUUUACUUUCCAGGAAGAAAGCAAAAGGCAAUGUCUUGGAUGAAUGAAUGAAUGAAUGAAUGAAUGAAUUCAGAUUUUUGGACACCUCAAACCAGAAAAACUUAAGAACUAUAUCUCUAGGCUCCCAGAGAAAUUGUUGACUCAUCUUCAAACACUUCAAGAGGAAAGCUCAAAAAAGGUUUAAAGUCCCACAAAAUGCACUCAGCCAGUUGGAGUUUAAUACCAGGUUUACCUUCAAAUUUGUAUACUUGAAGCAAAAUUAUGGAAAUCCUUCAGUAAUUUAUUACAGAUUUGAUUUUCAUUAUUUUUGUGUUUCAUUGUAUGAAGAAGACUUUUGCAUUCAUGGUCUUCUUUGGGACCCUGACUUGGACAUAUCUCAGACUAUUCCUUUGUCUGUGAUUAGACUCUUCCUUUGUCUGUGGCUAGCCUAUUCCUUUGUCUAUGGCUAGAACAUAACCACAUGGACACUUCUCAUCCAUGACAAUGUUAAAUGACCAAUAACUGCAGAAGAAAGGAUUUCAAAUGCUGACUGAAUUUCUUCAAGCUUCUUCUAAAAAACAUCCUUCUUUUGGUCCAUGGAGGAGGCCUCCCUGAAUGUGGAGGCCAGUUAUACCCAGAUUGCUUACUUCCCUGGCCCAUGGCUGACAUGGCCCACAUUCACCUUUGGCAGUUUUAUAAUUCUUGCUCUAAAUUCCUUUUUACUAGCUUCUAAUGGUUAGAGACUGUCAACACUCCUUGGAAUAGGAACAUGAUCUUCAGAAAAGACUGACUCUUUGAAACCUUUGAUACAUUCUUGAGGUAGGACCAUUUAGCCUCAUGUAGGACUAAAUCAGCAGUAGUGCUUGAUUGAGGUACUGCUUGUAUUGAAGGGACACACUCCAC